CCUACGGGUGGCAGCAGUGGGGAAUAUUGCACAAUGGGCGAAACCCUGAUGCAGCGACGCCGCGUGAGCGAAGAAGUAUUUCGGUAUGUAAAGCUCUAUCAGCAGGGAAGAAAAUGACGGUACCUGAGUACGAAGCGCCGGCUGAAUACGUGCCAGCAGCCGCGGUAAUUCGUAUGGAACAAGCGUUAUCCGGAUUUACUGGGCGUAAAGGGGGCGUAGGCGGGCUGCCAAGUCUGAUGUGAAAUACCGGGGCUCAACCCCGGGGGUGCAGUGGAAACUGGCAGGCUGGAGUGCCGGAGAGGUAGGCGGAAUUCCUGGUGUAGCGGUGAAAUGCGUAGAUAUUAGGAGGAACACCAGUGGCGAAGGCGGCAUGCUGGACGGUGACUGACGCUGAGGCUCGAAAGCGUGGGGAGCAAACAGGAUUAGAUACCCUUGUAGUC
rnacentral:rRNA from 1 species